rnacentral:misc_RNA from 1 species
CAUGCUAGCCGCAGAGUCACAUCCACAAUUUGUCGUUUACGUCUUGGACAUACGUGCUCACCUGUCCACCUGGUAAAAAUAAGAGUUCGCGACCACUCGCUGUGUGAAUGUGGCCUUGACGAAGGUACAGUGUCCCACAUCCUCUUCAAUUGCCCCAAACUCCUUCAUCCUAUCUAUGACAUCCUUCCCAGUGAAAUUCCUCGACCUAUUAAUGUUGAAUGUUUGUUAGCGUUUGUGUUUAGUCCCUUUUGUUCAUUUUUGUGUAAAUAUAUAGAAAUUAACAAAAUUAAGUUGUUGUGGUUUAACAACAAAAGCCUGACUAUUUUUUUUUUUCUCUGUCUGCAAUAAUCAAUAUAGCUUACAAUCUCAACCACACUGAUCAUUCUCCUUCGUGUCUUUUCUAUCCCACGUGACAUUGGCGAAAUCGACAGUGCCCCUGGCACAACUGAAAGCCAUUAAGCCCAAGAAUAAUAAUAA